rnacentral:rRNA from 1 species
UACGUAGGGUGCAAGCGUUGUCCGGAAUUAUUGGGCGUAAAGAGCUUGUAGGCGGUCUGUCGCGUCUGCUGUGAAAAAUCCGGGGCUCAACCCCCGGACUUGCAGUGGGUACGGGCAGACUAGAGUGUGGUAGGGGGAGACUGGAAUUCCUGGUGUAGCGGUGAAAUGCGCAGAUAUCAGGAGGAACACCGGUGGCGAAGGCGGAUCUCUGGGCCAUUACUGACGCUGAGGAGCGAAAGCGUGGGGAGCGAACAGG